UCUUACUGCUAUGCAUAGGUAAAAGGAAGUGAGUGGGCACCUGGCCAAAAACGCCAAUGGGAAGACUAGAACUUUUUAAAAUUGAAAAAAGACUCCCCUUUUGUCUCUGUGGUUGUUCUCCUGGGGAGAGGCAAAGAGGGCAACAGUUAUGCUGUUAGAAGCUUGGGGCCAGGUAUGAAAAAUCUUCAGUAUCAUACCUAGUAACUACUCAUUUUAAACCCCAGAUAUGUAAGUAGAUCAGGAAAUGUCUAGGAAGAUGCAAUUAGGUUUAUCUCUUUUUAUUUCUUUAUGGCUUUCAAUUUUCUUGAGCUAACCC